AGAACCCAGCUCAGAAGGAGCCGCUCACCUCAAAGAGUGGGAGCAGGGAUUGGGGGAGGGGGGACAGGGUGCGCGCGGGGAAAUGGCCUGCAACCGACCUGAUCAGCGUUCUCAAGCUCAGGUCGGUUUGCCUGUCCGGGUCUGGGACUAGCAAAGGGACAGAGGAGGGCAACUCUCUCAGCACUCGCUGGCUCGGACGUUAGUUAAAUCUAACAGCAGUCACCAGUGCAUCCCCAUCUGCAAAGGCCAAAAGCUGGGACAACCUGCCAGGAGCCCCUGGACGUCAGGGGAAGUUUGGACACAGCCCACAAGAGAAGAAUGCCGGGGGAAGAUGAAGAUGUCCGUCUACCAGCCAAGGAGAGAGACCAGGAGCAACGCCUCCCUCACGGCCCUCAGAAGGAACCAAGCCUGCGGACACCUUAAUUUUAUACUUCCAGCCUCCAGAACCCGGAGACAAUACAUUUCUGUUGCAUAAGC